CGCGCAGGCGGCCAGGUCAGUCGAAUGUGAAAGCCCCCGGCUCAACUGGGGAAGGUCGUUCGAUACUGCCUGGCUCGAAGAUAGGAGAGGGAAGUGGAAUUUCAGGUGUAGUGGUGAAAUGCGUAGAUAUCUGAAGGAACACCAGUGGCGAAGGCGACUUUCUGGCCUAUUCUUGACGCUGAGGCGCGAAAGCUAGGGGAGCGAACG
rnacentral:rRNA from 1 species